UGCUGUGUAGCUAAGUGGUAAAGCCCUGGCCUCAUAAGCCAGUGAUGCGUCGGUUCGAUCCCGUCCACAGCAA
rnacentral:tRNA from 1 species